rnacentral:tRNA from 2 species
ACCAGGAUGACCGAGUGGUUAAGGCGUUGGACUUAAGUUCCAAUGUACGAAUGUACGCGUGGGUUCGAACCCCACUCCUGGUA